AAAUGAAUAGACGGGGGCCCGCACAAGCGGUGGAGUAUGUGGUUUAAUUCGACGCAACGCGAAGAACCUUACCAGGGCUUGACAUCGUAUGCAAGACGUAGAGAUACGUCCCUUAGUCUUCGGACUAACAUAUAGACAGGUGGUGCAUGGUUGUCGUCAGCUCGUGUCGUGAGAUGUUGGGUUAAGUCCCGCAACGAGCGCAACCCCUAACAUUAGUUGCCAGCACGUGAAGGUGGGAACUCUAAUGUGACUGCCGUUGACAAAACGGAGGAAGGUGGGGAUGACGUCAAAUCAUCAUGCCCCUUAUGUCCUGGGCUACACACGUACUACAAUGGCCGGUACAGACGGAAGCGAAGCUGUGAAGCGAAGCAAACCUGAGAAAGCCGGUCCCAGUUCGGAUUGUAGUCUGCAACUCGACUACAUGAAGUCGGAAUCGCUAGUAAUCGCAGGUCAGCAUACUGCGGUGAAUACGUUCCCGGGCCUUGUACACACCGCCCGU
rnacentral:rRNA from 1 species